GACGAACGCUGGCGGUGUGCUUAACACAUGCAAGUCGAACGGCAAGGCCCUGCUUUCGUGGUGUGCUCGAGUGGCGAACGCGUGAGUAACACGUGAGUAUCCUGCUCUUCUCUUUCGUAUAACUUCAGGUAACUGGGGUUACUACCGUAUCGGAGCCCCUGUUGCAUUGUGAGCGUUGGAAAGUUUCGGCGGUCGGGGAUGGACUCGCGGCUUAUCAGUUUGCUGGUGGGGUAGUGGCUUACCAAGGCAUUGACGGAUAGCUGGCUUGAGAGGGUGACCGGCGACAAGGGGACUGAGAGACGGAGCAGACGCAUACGGGAGGCAGCAGGGGGGAAUAUUGCACAAUGGGAGGAAGCCGGAUGAAGAAGCGCCGGGGGCGGGAUGACGGCCUGCGGGGUAUAAAAAGCUGUCGCCUGAGACGAAGCGUGAGUGACGGUAAUGAAUAAAGAAGCACCGGCUAACUACGUG
rnacentral:rRNA from 1 species